UACGUAGGGACCAAGCGUUGUCCGGAAUCAUUGGGCGUAAAGAGCGUGUAGGCGGCUUGUUAAGUCUUGCGUGAAAUCUCGGGGCUCAACCCCGAGCGGUCGUGAGAAACUGGCAGGCUAGAGUGCGGGGAGAGGAGAGUGGAAUUCCUGGUGUAGCGGUGAAAUGCGCAGAUAUCAGGAAGAACACCCGUGGCGAAGGCGGCUCUCUGGAACGCAACUGACGCUGGGACGCGAAAGCGUGGGGAGCAAACAGG
rnacentral:rRNA from 1 species